GAACGGCAUUUCGAAUUAAGAAUUAAUUGGACGAUAAAAUAAAUAUUAGAAAUCGUAUAUAACACCGGCUGGUACCUUACAGUAAAUCGUAUAGAAAAUCAACGAGCGAAGUCUAAAACAUAAAAGUAGGUAAAAAUAUAAUACGAAGAAUACGAUUACAAUGGAGCAGGACAUGCUCGUAGAAGUCAAAAUGAACUGAUAAAUGCUGGCGAUCAAGCAGAA